rnacentral:rRNA from 1 species
AUUAAAACUUCAUUAGGUAGUAUUAAUUUUUUUCUAAACCUAUAUAAAAUGGCGGCAUUUCAUCUUAUUAGAGGAACAUGUUACUUAAUCGAUAACACACGUUUAUUUUCACUUAUUUUUAAAUUUUAUAUACCUCCGUCAAUAAAUCAAUCUUAAAAUAUUUUUUUAAUAAAAUUCUAAAAAAUUAGGUAAAGGUGUAAACUAUAGAUAAGAAAUUAAUGUGUUACAUUAAAUUUAAUUUAAGGAUUAUUUUCUAAAGCCGAUAUAAAAAAGAAUUUAAAUGUAAAAAUUACAAUAAUAUUCUAAUUUGAAUAAGAAAAUCAAUGUGC